CCUAGAGCCCAUGCGCGAGCACACGUGCCCGCGGCGCCGUCCACGCGUUAGCGGCGGUUCCAGCGCGGCAGCUCCUCCCCGCAGCUAUUUAAGCUAUCUCCGGCCUCGUCCAAGCUCAUCUCCAGCCUUUCCUCACUCCUAGCAACCUCCCCAGCCAUCCGCCCGAGCCUCCGGAGCUCCCGUUGCUGUCCAUUGCCGCCAUGGCUGCCGCACGGCCUCGGCUAAAUUAGCCCGAGCCGAGCCCUCCCCCUCCUUUCUGUCGCCACCAGAGAGCUCCCUGGACCUCCUCUAGCCUCCCCAGAACCCCAGCUCUCCUUCCCAGCCUCCGGAGCCCUCCCUUGCCAUGGAGCCGCCGCCCUCUGUCUCAGCCGUCGCGACCAACUCCGGCGGUCCCCGAGGCCAGCGCGGCCACCCACGAGCGCGGGAUGGAGAGGUGCGUCCAUCCCCAGCAGCGCCCUAUCCUCCCGUGGCCUCCCAUCGCCGGCGCAGGUGAGGCCGCAGCCGUCGCUGCCCUCUGUUAUUCGCAUCGGGAGGAAGAAGAAGGAGCGAGGAGAGAGAGAGAGAGAGAGAGGAGGGAGAUGACCAGCAGCGUGGGCCCCGCGGCCCACCAAUCAGCCUCCUAGCUGACGGCCCCGUUUUGACCCUGCCCCGCCACGUCAGCAUAGGUCCCUCGGAGAAAAACAUCCAUAUCUUUUUAUCAAUAACUCCAAAUAAGGUGAAACCAACGCUCACUUCUUUGUCUCGUCGAGCCCGUCCUGUUGGUUUCAUUUUCACUAUGGUUUGAUACUGUGAAAAUGACCAUUUUGCCCUUGCCCAAAUCAGCCCCCUUCGGGAGAGAACGUUUUUCGGCGAUUCUUUCCGCAAGUUUCUUGCACGUCUUCCCGGAGUCUCCGUCAUCCCCAGGAAAGCCGCAAUACCCACUUACAUGAUAGUCAUGCAGUAGCCAUGGUUUUCAACUUGAAUCUUUACUAAAUGUUUGCUUGUUGAAAAGUUGGUUAUCGCUGUUCCAGUGAUGUUUAGAUUUGCAUGUUCACUUUUGUGCUAUGUUGUCUUGUACUCUAUUAUCAUGUUCUACCCGCUAGUAUUUCCUUUCAUAUGUUUAUGCUUGCUAGUAGUACAUGUUGAUGUUGGUGAUGGUCAUGCUAGUCAGUGUGCCAUGCUCAGUGGAUAUGAUUUAUUGUUGAUAUGGUUGAUAGUUAUGUGAUACCCUCAUGAUUAUGUUGAUAUCAUGUUCAUGUAUUUUAUCAUGGCUCAAUAUAUUUUCAUUCAAGUUAA